rnacentral:rRNA from 1 species
GAGAGACGCUGGCGGCGUGGAUUAGGCAUGCAAGUCGAACGGUAGGAUACCUUCGGGUAUCUGAGAGUGGCGAACGGGUGAGUAACACGUAGGUGAUCUACCCUCAAGAUUGGGACAACCCAGGGAAACUUGGGCUAAUACCGGAUGAAAGCAGCAGUGAUGUUGUUUGAAAGGUGGCGUAAGCUGCCGUUUGGGGAUGAGCCUGCGCUCUAUUAGUUAGUUGGCGGGGUAAAGGCCCACCAAGGCGAUGAUAGAUAGGCGGCCUUAACGGGUGGUCGCCCACACUGGGAUUGAGAUACGGCCCAGACUCCUACGGGAGGCAGCAGUCGAGAAUAGUCUACAAUGGCCGAAAGGCUGAUAGUGCGACGCCGCGUGAACGAAGAAGCCCUUCGGGGUGUAAAGUUCUUUUAUAUGUGAGCAGUGCUUUCUAUGCGAACAGCAUGGGGAGAGAGAUAUUAGCAUAUGAAUAAGCAACGGCUAACUCCGUG